AACAAACAACAACAAAAACAUAAAAGGGAGCAUACAUUCAUCAAAACCCAACUCAAACACUAUAGCUCUAGAUCCAUCCACAACAUGCAUCUUUACCCCAUAAACCCUCAUAAAACUUAAUUAAAAACAUAAGAGAGGCAAGGAUCUAGGCUUACCUUUUGGAGAUCUAGGAGUGACAGCAACCCCAACGUGGAGAUGAGUC
rnacentral:lncRNA from 1 species